AAAUAUAUAAAGUUAAACAAUUUUAGAUACUUUUCGGAUAAUAAUAAUUGGAUUUGAGAUUGAUUCAGUAAUUUAUGAUAAAUUUUAAUUAGAUUUGAAAUAGAUUAGAAUGAAAAAAAAAAAUAUUAAACAGGUUCAGGUUAUAAAAAUAUUAUACAAAUUUGGGUUUGGGUAACAUAUUUUUCACAAGUUUCCUGCCCAUUGCCAUCCAUUAUUAAAAUGUAGUUUGACAUUUCCCAUGCUGGGUUUUCUAAUUCUUAGGUGGCUAACUUGAAGCAGACAAAUUAUGUGGCAAUUCAACUAAUUUCCCUCUUCUAAUCUUGCAGUUGUUUCAAGUAGUAGGAAAUUCUUAACCAUCCUUAGUGAGCUCCCAAACUCCCAAAUUUUUUUUUUACAUGUAUAUUUUCAUAAUUUUUUUUCCUAGAAAUAUAUAAUUGGCGCACCCUAGAGUUUGAAAAUCUCCCUAGUUCCUGCAACCCUGAAAGAUUUUAAAAUUUUCAUUAUUAUUUUAAUUUAUAAUCCCUUGUCCUGUGAAAAAUUUUAUGUACUUCCAAUAUUACCAUUACAUCUAGUUCCCUGAAAUCUGAAAAUUUUCAUUUUGGCCUUUAAAUGUGAAAAAUUUUUCAUUAAUACUAUUAUACUUCAUCCCUCCAAAGUUCAAUAAUAAAGUUCUGCAUCCUCCCUUGUUCACUGAUAUGCACACAAGCAUCUCUAAGAGGAACUAGGAAAAUGUGUGUUUGGGAGACUCUGCUGAGGUGAUUUACCUUGUCUGCGUACUUAGCUUCUGUGUAAUCCCCAAUCCUGUGAAGAUUUCUUCUUGUGAAACAAUUUUAUAUAAUAUGACUACAGUUUUUGUUUUCUAUUUCGCCUGGGCACAUUCGGCUUGCAAUUUAAGAUGUGGAACCCAUUUGAAGCAUUGGUUAAAACACUAAGUGCAGUAAGCAAGCUACUGCUCCAAGUGUCCCUGAUAAGGAAAUCAUUCUCGAGCCAUCACCAGCCAGAAUCAGGAAAAAGAAACUAUUUGAUUGUAAAGAAUUCUAAUUAAUGCUGUUUUGCUUCCACCAGAUCAUGCUGAUAUCCACGGUGUUAUAUCAUAUCAUUGUGUGACUUAGAAGGGUUAAUUGCUAAAAUCCCGUCAAGGUUUCAUGGUAAAAACACUUGCAUCCUUGCGGACUUCAGAACUUGUUCAACCAGAGUUGAAAUUCAAGAGCUCAAUUGUAACAAAAAUUUCAAUUUCUGGGACUAAAUGGAGUCCACUUUUUUUAGUUUCAUUCAUGGUCAUUGAAUUUGUUACUAAAUUUCAAGAUUGUUGCUAAAUUUCAAUUGCAUUAAGCAAAAUAUUCAAAUUUGAAUUGAAAAUUUUGUUUCAAUCACCACAAAUUUACAAUGCAUAUUUUAAAAUCUGGAGAAUGCACUGUUUUUGUCGUGAAAUGUCACAGAGUUCAUAAUUAUCCACUCAAGAAACCAUACUGGUACCUGGUCAAUUGCAUGUACAUAUAGACAAAUGUACAUUUUUUUUUUCACCAAUGCUUUGGUUUCUGUACUUUUACGGGGCAAACUUAUUUUGCCGAAACAAAUUGGAAAUGGAGUUGCUAUAUUGAAUCAAUUGAUUAUACUACUGUAUAGGAAAGUGGUGUAUUGAUGUUAUUGACAGGCUCUGUAGGGUUGUAGUAUUUGUUCAUUUGGGUUCACAAGUCAAUGCUUCACCUUCCAUUUCAUGUGU
rnacentral:misc_RNA from 1 species